UUGCUUCAGCAACACAUAGACUAAAAUUGGAAUGAUACAGAGGAGAUUAGCAUGGCCCCUGCACAAGGAUGACACGCAAAUUCGUGAAGCAUUCCAUAUUUAA
ensembl:snRNA U6 U6 spliceosomal RNA